GAGGGGAAGAAAGCCCACUUCUGUGUUUGCUCUCCCUGUGGAAUGCUGCCUUUGUCUAUGGAUUAAGCCUUGAUGUGAGGCCUCCUUCUCCCAAGAGAAGUAGCCCAAAGCAAAAGUGAAUGAUUGUGUUCACAAAGCCAAUGCAUUGGUGACUGCCAUUUCCUGAGGUACCUGUUGCACUGGAAGGGUGGGUGCCUGUGUCUGUGCAUGUAAUUUCUAUGUGCAUAUGAAGGGCAGAGGAGAAGGACUGAGCCCCUGCCUCCCUGAAACACACCAGGACAUUUUCUUGCCCUUCAGGCUUAUCCCACUGGCCCAAUCUGUGUCUUCCUCUCCUUGAGGCUGUCCAAAGGUGGACCCUGGGAGCAACACGCUGCCAAAGAUGAUUCUGGAUGGGGACCCCCUUCUGCUGCAACAGCACUUCCUCCUCUGGUGGGAUUCAUGCCCAGCCCCUGGGUCAGCUGCACUGGACUUCUGCCCUGACAGUCAACUUUCCCUCGGGCCCUUUCCCUGCUGAAUGGAGGGGGGCAAUGUGUUCCUCCUGCCCUCAGUGCUCUGGGUCUCCCCUCACCAUGCAGCCCCCUUUCUUUCACCAGGAUUCCCAGAAAAUGUCUCCUUGCCAGAAGGAACAGCUGCUGCUAGAUGUUUUCACUCCCCUGGACAAAGACACACCCUCUCUUUCUCAAUGGUGCUAAUGCAUAGCCAGGUGUUCUCUCCUUGUGUGACACUCUGUAUACUGCUUUACUGUAUUUAUACAUUUUGUUUAAACUGAAAAGAACUUCAUUUCUCAUGGGUAGCAGAUUGUUUCUUGCGCUGUUAUCAAAACCAGAUCAUGGUCAGCCAUGAAUUUAGAUGUGGACCGAGGCAAAGGGUAAAAAAGAAGACGACGACGACACCGAACAUUAAAUGAAGUCUCUCUCUUCCCAACCUUCUGGGGCACAGCAGCAGCCUCGACCUUUCCUGGAACCAGCCAUCCAUAAUGCAGUUUAUGGCCGACACAAGUUCCUCAGCUUUGCCUCCCAGCCUGGACCUCAGAAGAAGAAGCAACUGGCUGGAGUCAGGCCUUCUGCACUCAUGCCCCAGCUGCCCAGCUUUCUUUGAGGAGGGCAGGAUCUAUUCCUCCAGGAACAUCCUCCGAGGGCUGCACUUCCUGGGGCUCCAGCUGUUCCAGCUGCUGCGGGGGCCCAGACAGGUCCAAAUCAGUGCCUGGGGUGUGAACUUGCUCUCAGAUGGAUCCCUGGAGGAGUCUGGCACCUGGGAGAUUAGAGUAAUGAUGGAGCAGCUGUCUGAUCUUUCUGGGCAACUGUCUGCACUGGAAGAGCAAAGUGAGAGUUGGCACAAGAAAGAGCUGUUCCUUUACUCCAUGUUGGCCUCUGCCUGGCUCUUUAACAUAUGGCUGUGGCUCAGGAGAUGACUUGCCCACGACUUGCCCACGACAGCCACAAGAGAAAAAUGAUGUGGUUAGCUGUAAGACUUGCAACCAGCCAAGGGAGGUGGGGGUGGGGGGAAACGGGACACUGAGUGUUCCGGGUCUCUAGUGGCCAGAAGGGUAGGAGGGGAGAGGAAAGGCUGCCCUUCCAGCCUUCAGUUUCUUUUUUUAAUGUUCCUGUUGUAAGCUAUUGCCAGGUUUUAUCUUUAUUAUUAUUGUUAUUCCCUGCAAUGCCCCUCUUGGGUUGUCAAGGGAGAAAACGUCUCCUUUCCCAUUUUCAUAGUCUUUCCUGGGGGAUGGGGUGAGUGUGGAAGUGGCAUUGAGUUGCCUCUCUUCCACUCUUCUCCAGUCCAAGUCAGAUGAUAAUAUGGAGGUGCUGUGCAUUUAAGAGCAUGAUAACAUUGGGAUUCUGAUUUUUAGAGGGCUCUGCGCAUAUCCCUGCCAGCCUCUUUUCACAUUCUCCCCAUUUUUGUUUCUUGUGGACAUAGUAGAAAGUAAUGAAGAUCAUCUUGAUAGAUUCCAGUAUCAUGGCUGGGAAGGGUGAACUAAACCUUAAGCCCACAGCAGACAGAAAAUAUGCAGGAGGGGCUCAGACAGAAACCUCCUUGGGUUACAGGAACAUAAGAAGGCCGAGGAAGACUGUGGUUAUAGUCACUCUCAAUAAAAAAAAUAGUUUUAGGCUUACUGUGGAGCUGAUUUCUGGAUCUGCUCUACCUGGUGGGGCUGCAGCAUGGUUUCAGGGUCUAAUUUGUAUAUAAUUUUGGGGAACUUUUUAUUCAUGAUAGCUGCAGCAAGAUUAUUGUAUGUGCAAAGAUGAGAAGAUUCGGCACUGCCCAUCACGGAGGAAUGGUUGGUGAAGAUGAUGGAAUUUGCUGCAAUGGCUAAAUUUACUUCUUUGAUCAGAGAAAAAAAAACAAUAUCUACAUUUAUUACUGACUGGAAACUUUUUAUAGACAUUUUGUGAGAAACAGAAAAAAAUGAACUCAUGCUAUAUGGUUUGGAUGAUUAGACUGAAUAGACUGUAGAAAGAAGAUGUUGUAACCAUAGAGUAAAAUUUCUAAUUGUACUUAUAGCUG
ensembl:lncRNA